GUUCAUUUGUAGACUCUGCGCAGUGACCUCUGCAGAACAUACACUCGAUAGCAGCACACGGAGGAGGAGCACUGCAAACUGGGGCUCUCGCUCUGCAGAGCUCUGGAGCCUGCGCUCCCCUUCAGAAUGAGGACAGUCGCCUUACAGCCGAUGGCUUCCAGUAGCAGACCUAAGCCUGACGUCUUCCUUUCAGCUUGGCAAAUAGGAGAAGCACAUGAGGUCACCUGGCUUGCAGCUCAAGUCUAACUUGGAGGUCCCUGGAGGAGCACAGGCGGUUUAACCACUUUAACAAGCUGCGGUGUCCAGAGGUGAUGUACUUAACUCUCUUCCUCCUUACACUCUGAGCACCCAGCUCCUUGUUUCCUGCUUGUUGCCAGCAGAGCUUAUACAAGAUUUUGUCCCUCUAGCCCAACACCAGCUUAUAGCAUAUUUCUCCAAGAUCUGUUGCCCCCAUUGUCUCAUUUAUUUGCAUCAGUGGAGCUGCAGCUGGCUGUCUUCUGCCUUCUCCCAGACUGGAAAGGCACUCAGGGCUCCAAAACCUUCCCUAUCCCUCCACGCGCUUUCUGUUGUCCCACUGUGGCGAUUGCUUGGGACUCUUGGUGUGUACCUAGGAACUGCCCUGCUGCAGCCCAGCUAACCACGGAGAGCUGAUAAUGUACUAAUUAAUAACAUGGAGUUAGUGAGUAACUCAUGCUUUACAAAU
ensembl:lncRNA